rnacentral:tRNA from 1 species
GUGGAUGUAGCUCAGUAGGUUAGAGUGCUGGAUUGUGGUUCCAGAGGUCGCCGGUUCGAACCCGGUCUUCCACCCA